GAAAAAACAUUUAUGGUCAAGAGUUUGGAGGAAUGUACUGUGUAGUUUUAACUGUGAGGUCUAUUGUUGUAUCAGCUGGUCUUCUUAGGAUAUUUGGUCAUGAGGUAGCCGAGCUUCCCAUAGUGGCGACAACUAGAGAACACCAAGGGAAAGGCUAUUUCCAAGUAUUAUUUUCAUGUAUAGAGAAGUUGUUGGUUUCCCUGAAUGUGGAAAACAUUGUGCUUCCUGUUGCUGAGGAAGCAGAGUCAAUCUGAACAAACAAGUUUGGAUUCACAAAGAUGAGUGAUGAUCGACUGUCAAAGUAUAUGAGAGAGGUGCAGUUUAAAAUUUUCAAGGGAACAUCCAUGCUGGAAAAGGCAAUGCAGCAGCAACAACAAUGCAUAAU